rnacentral:rRNA from 5 species
GCAUAUCAAUAAGCGGAGGAAAAGAAACCAACAGGGAUUGCCUUAGUAGCGGCGAGUGAAGCGGCAAAAGCUCAAAUUUGAAAUCUGGCACUUUCAGUGUCCGAGUUGUAAUUUGAAGAAGGUAUCUUUGGGUCUGGCUCUUGUCUAUGUUUCUUGGAACAGAACGUCACAGAGGGUGAGAAUCCCGUGCGAUGAGAUGUCCCAGACCUAUGUAAAGUUCCUUCGAAGAGUCGAGUUGUUUGGGAAUGCAGCUCUAAGUGGGUGGUAAAUUCCAUCUAAAGCUAAAUAUUGGCGAGAGACCGAUAGCGAACAAGUACAGUGAUGGAAAGAUGAAAAGAACUUUGAAAAGAGAGUGAAAAAGUACGUGAAAUUGUUGAAAGGGAAGGGCUUGAGAUCAGACUUGGUAUUUUGUAUGUUACUCUCUCGGGGGUGGCCUCUACAGUUUACCGGGCCAGCAUCAGUUUGAGCGGUAGGAUAAGUGCAAAGAAAUGUGGCACUGCUUCGGUAGUGUGUUAUAGUCUUUGUCGAUACUGCCAGCUUAGACUGAGGACUGCGGCUUCGGCCUAGGAUGUUGGCAUAAUGAUCUUAAGUCGCCCGUCUUGAAACACGGACC